UCUCAUCGAUGAGCAAAGAAAGGAGUUUCUUGAGAUGGAAUCUACUCCUGGUGAAGAUGCUGUGAA
rnacentral:pre_miRNA from 1 species